rfam:Colletotrichum gloeosporioides Cg-14 contig04605, whole genome shotgun sequence.
AGCACGGUGGCGGAGUGGUUAACGCAGUGGACUUGAAAUCCACAGAUCCCUGGAUCAAAACCAGGCUGUGCUC